AAUGACUAAUACGAGAAGAGAGAGAAAGAAAAGGAAGCCAGACGAGUCCAUCGCUUUGCCAUGAACUAUCAAUCAUGUCAUUGGUGAUCAUGUGUAAUGGAUACCUUGAAUGCCUCCAGUCAUAUAUAACCCCACUUUUCCAGAGGAUGUUACUUUGGAUUCUACUCCUGAAGGA
rnacentral:lncRNA from 1 species